rnacentral:rRNA from 1 species
UAACUNAACGACGGCCGUGCUUNAGUCUCUAAACAUUGAGGCGGNUGGUUUAANGAUCUCACACUGGCCGGUCGUUUNACNAGCCUAACACAUGCAGUCGAACGGUAACAGGAAGCAGCUUGCUGCUUUGCUGACGAGCGGCGGACGGGUGAGUAAUGUCUGGGAAACUGCCUGAUGGAGGGGGAUAACUACUGGAAACGGUAGCUAAUACCGCAUAACGUCGCAAGACCAAAGAGGGGGACCUUCGGGCCUCUUGCCAUCGGAUGUGCCCAGAUAGGGAUUAGCUAGUAAGUGGGGUAACGGCUCACCUAGCGACGAUCCCUANCUAGGUCUAGAGAGGAUAGACCAGCCACACUAGGAACUGANGACACGGUACCAGACUCCUACGGGAGGCAGCAGAGGGGAAUAUUGGACAAUGGGCGCAAGCCUAGAUCCAGCCAUAACCGCGUAGGGUAGAAAGAAGGCCUACGGAGUAUGAAAGCCCUAUAGUGGGAAAGAAAUCCAGCCGGCUAAUACCUGGUUAGGGAUAGACGAGUACCUAAACCAGAAAGCCCACGAGGCUAACUACGUAGCCAGCAGCCGCCGGUAAUACGUAGGUGGCAAGCGUUNAAUCCGGAAUUAUUAGGGGCGAAAAGCAGCGCGGCAAGUAGGUAACUAAAGUCUGAUAGUAGAAAAAGGCCCCCGGUUCAACCCGAGAGANAGGGCCACUUGGAAACUGGGGNACCAUGAGUUGUCCAAAAACGGAGGGGCACUCCCAGAGUGAANGGAAAAACAUCGGUNACAGAUNGGAGAACCCCGNGGGGAGGGACUNCCGNGAUCGGAACAGACCGAAGGGAACGGGGAGCCACGNAUAACCCGGAACCACCCGACANNAGUAAGAAGAGGUCGCCUAAUGAAACANACCCGAGGACACG